UACAGAGGUCUCAAGCGUUGUUCGGAUUCAUUGGGCGUAAAGAGCUCGUAGGCGGCCGGUUGCGUCUGCUGUGAAAUCCCGGGGCUUAACCCCGGGCGUGCAGUGGAUACGGGCUGGCUGGAGGCAGGCAGGGGAGAAUGGAAUUCCCGGUGUAGCGGUGAAAUGCGCAGAUAUCGGGAGGAACACCGGUGGCGAAGGCGGUUCUCUGGGCCUGUGCUGACGCUGAGGAGCGAAAGCGUGGGGAGCGAACAGG
rnacentral:rRNA from 1 species